rnacentral:rRNA from 1 species
UGGGGAAUAUCGCUCAAUGGGCGCAAGCAAGAUGCACAAACGCCGCGUGCGGGAUGGAGGCCUUCGGGUUGUACACCGCUUUUGUUCAAGUGCAAGGCACGGUUUUUGGCCGUGUUGAGUGGAUUGUUCGAAUAAGCACCGGCUAACUACGUG